CCCACACAGCCAGUUCCUCCUCCUUUUUGCAGUCUCACUGACUGCAGAGAGGGAGUUCUCCGUGACGUCCAAAUUCGGAUGAGAGAGCAGGGCAGGAGAGCGGAACUGCAGGAGUCCAGACUUGUUCCUUCUCAUCAUCACCACGAAACAGCGCAGUAGGAGUCAGAACCCAAAAGUGAAAAGGUUGCUCAUGGGCGUCUGAGGGAAGAACAACACAUUUCUCACAAAACCCAGGCUCCUGUUGACAGCAAAGACUGACUGAAGCUGCAGUAUAUUAAGGCAGCAGGUUCCCACAAAACAUUUCCAGGACAAGAUCAAAUUUUAUGAGCUGUGUAAGCUUUUGCUGUGUGGCAUUUCAAGGAGGUGCAUAAAAUGCUUCAGGGAACCUACCGAAAGCAUUCCGUGGCUGGGAAGGGACCAGUGCAGGGUGGCUGUAAAGAAUCCACCUCCCAGGCAGUCCAGAUACAAUAUGCAGAUGAAGAUAACAAAAAUCAGAGACGCUUGAAAGGAGGAUGAAAUAAAAUAGCUCCCACACCCUUAAGGGCUUCCCUCUUCAUUUCAAUGGAGGCAACAAAUCCAAGUAUAUGUUCCUUCGUGGGAUGUGGAGUUCUGUGUCCAGUGAAAUAAAUGUGGUAUUUGGGAUGA